rfam:Hadesarchaea archaeon YNP_45 contig_124_569, whole genome shotgun sequence.
GUUGGCGGCCACAGCGGCGAGGAAAUACCCGGUCUCGUCAGAUCCCGGAAGUCAAGCUCGCCUGCGUGUCGGGCGGUACUUUUGUGCGCAAGCCAAAGGGAAACCCGAUUCGCUGCCAACC